GACGAACGCUGGCGGCGUGCCUAAUACAUGCAAGUUGAGCGCUGAAGGCUGGUACUUGUACCAACUGGAUGAGCAGCGAACGGGUGAGUAACGCGUGGGGAAUCUGCCUUUGAGCGGGGGACAACAUUUGGAAACGAAUGCUAAUACCGCAUAAAAACUUUAAACACAAGUUUUAAGUUUGAAAGAUGCAAUUGCAUCACUCAAAGAUGAUCCCGCGUUGUAUUAGCUAGUUGGUGAGGUAAAGGCUCACCAAGGCGAUGAUACAUAGCCGACCUGAGAGGGGGCUCGGCCACAUUGGGACGGGGACACGGCCCAAACUACUACGGGAGGCAGCAGUAGGGAAUCUUCGGCAAUGGACGAAAGGCUGACCGAGCAACGCCGCGUGAGUGAAGAAGGUUUUCGGAUCGUAAAACUCUGUUGGUAGAGAAGAACGUUGGUGAGAGUGGAAAGCUCAUCAAGUGACGGUAACUACACAGAAAGGGACGGCUAACUACGUG
rnacentral:rRNA from 1 species